AGUGAACGCUGGCGGUAGGCCUAACACAUGCAAGUCGAACGGCAGCACAGUAAGAGCUUGCUCUUACGGGUGGCGAGUGGCGGACGGGUGAGGAAUACAUCGGAAUCUACUUUUUCGUGGGGGAUAACGUAGGGAAACUUACGCUAAUACCGCAUACGACCUACGGGUGAAAGCAGGGGAUCUUCGGGCCUUGCGCGAUUGAAUGAGCCGAUGUCGGAUUAGCUAGUUGGCGGGGUAAAGGCCCACCAAGGCGACGAUCCGUAGCUGGUCUGAGAGGAUGAUCAGCCACACUGGAACUGAGACACGGUCCAGACUCCUACGGGAGGCAGCAGUGGGGAAUAUUGGACAAUGGGCGCAAGCCUGAUCCAGCCAUACCGCGUGGGUGAAGAGGGCCUUCGGGUUGUAAAGCCCUUUUGUUGGGAAAGAAAAGCAGCAGGUUAAUACCCCGCUGUUCUGACGGUACCCAAAGAAUAAGCACCGGCUAACUUCGUG
rnacentral:rRNA from 1 species